rnacentral:rRNA from 1 species
ACACAUGCAGUCGAGGGGCAGCACGGGAGUAGCAAUACAACUGGUGGCGACCGGCGCACGGGUGAGUAACGCGUAUGCAACCUACCUAUCAGAGGGGAAUAACCCGGCGAAAGUCGGACUAAUACCGCAUAAAACAGGGGCACCGCAUGGUGAUAUUUGUUAAAGAAAUUCGCUGAUAGAUGGGCAUGCGUUCCAUUAGGUAGUUGGUGAGGUAACGGCUCACCAAGCCGACGAUGGAUAGGGGAACUGAGAGGUUGGUCCCCCACACUGGUACUGAGACACGGACCAGACUCCUACGGGAGGCAGCAGUGAGGAAUAUUGGUCAAUGGGCGGGAGCCUGAACCAGCCAAGUCGCGUGAAGGAAGAAGGAUCUAUGGUUCGUAAACUUCUUUUGCAGGGGAAUAAAGUGCAGGACGUGUCCUGUUUUGUAUGUACCCUGAGAAUAAGGAUCGGCUAACUCCGUGCCAGCAGCCGCGGUAAUACGGAGGAUCCGAGCGUUAUCCGGAUUUAUUGGGUUUAAAGGGUGCGUAGGUGGUUUGAUAAGUCAGCGGUGAAAGUUUGCAGCUUAACUGUAAAAAUGCCGUUGAAACUGUCGGACUUGAGUGUAAAUGAGGUAGGCGGAAUGCGUGGUGUAGCGGUGAAAUGCAUAGAUAUCACGCAGAACUCCGAUUGCGAAGGCAGCUUACUAAGCUACAACUGACACUGAAGCACGAAAGCGUGGGGAUCAAACAGGAUUAGAUACCCUGGUAGUCCACGCAGUAAACGAUGAUUACUAGCUGUUUGCGAUACACAGUAAGGCGGGCACCAGCGAAAGGCGUU